UAGGGAAUCUUCGGCAAUGGGGGCAACCCUGACCGAGCAACGCCGCGUGAGUGAAGAAGGUUUUCGGAUCGUAAAGCUCUGUUGUAAGUCAAGAACGGGUGUGAGAGUGGAAAGUUCACACUGUGACGGUAGCUUACCAGAAAGGGACGGCUAACUACGUGCCAGCAGCCGCGGUAAUACGUAGGUCCCGAGCGUUGUCCGGAUUUAUUGGGCGUAAAGCGAGCGCAGGCGGUUUGAUAAGUCUGAAGUUAAAGGCUGUGGCUCAACCAUAGUUUGCUUUGGAAACUGUCAAACUUGAGUGCAGAAGGGGAGAGUGGAAUUCCAUGUGUAGCGGUGAAAUGCGUAGAUAUAUGGAGGAACACCGGUGGCGAAAGCGGCUCUCUGGUCUGUAACUGACGCUGAGGCUCGAAAGCGUGGGGAGCGAACAGGAUUAGAUACCCUGGUAGUCCACGCCGUAAACGAUGAGUGCUAGGUGUUGGAUCCUCUCCGGGGAUUCAGUGCCGCAGCUAACGCAUUAAGCACUCCCGC
rnacentral:rRNA from 1 species